AAAUUGAAGAGUUUGAUCAUGGCUCAGAUUGAACGCUGGCGGCAGGCCUAACACAUGCAAGUCGAGCGGUAGCACAGAGAGCUUGCUCUCGGGUGACGAGCGGCGGACGGGUGAGUAAUGUCUGGGAAACUGCCUGAUGGAGGGGGAUAACUACUGGAAACGGUAGCUAAUACCGCAUAACGUCGCAAGACCAAAGUGGGGACCUUCGGGCCUCAUGCCAUCAGAUGUGCCCAGAUGGGAUUAGCUAGUAGGUGGGGUAACGGCUCACCUAGGCGACGAUCCCUAGCUGGUCUGAGAGGAUGACCAGCCACACUGGAACUGAGACACGGUCCAGACUCCUACGGGAGGCAGCAGUGGGGAAUAUUGCACAAUGGGCGCAAGCCUGAUGCAGCCAUGCCGCGUGUGUGAAGAAGGCCUUCGGGUUGUAAAGCACUUUCAGCGGGGAGGAAGGCGUUAAGGUUAAUAACCUUGGCGAUUGACGUUACCCGCAGAAGAAGCACCGGCUAACUCCGUGCCAGCAGCCGCGGUAAUACGGAGGGUGCAAGCGUUAAUCGGAAUUACUGGGCGUAAAGCGCACGCAGGCGGUCUGUCAAGUCGGAUGUGAAAUCCCCGGGCUCAACCUGGGAACUGCAUUCGAAACUGGCAGGCUAGAGUCUUGUAGAGGGGGGUAGAAUUCCAGGUGUAGCGGUGAAAUGCGUAGAGAUCUGGAGGAAUACCGGUGGCGAAGGCGGCCCCCUGGACAAAGACUGACGCUCAGGUGCGAAAGCGUGGGGAGCAAACAGGAUUAGAUACCCUGGUAGUCCACGCCGUAAACGAUGUCGAUUUGGAGGUUGUGCCCUUGAGGCGUGGCUUCCGGAGCUAACGCGUUAAAUCGACCGCCUGGGGAGUACGGCCGCAAGGUUAAAACUCAAAUGAAUUGACGGGGGCCCGCACAAGCGGUGGAGCAUGUGGUUUAAUUCGAUGCAACGCGAAGAACCUUACCUGGUCUUGACAUCCACAGAACUUUCCAGAGAUGGAUUGGUGCCUUCGGGAACUGUGAGACAGGUGCUGCAUGGCUGUCGUCAGCUCGUGUUGUGAAAUGUUGGGUUAAGUCCCGCAACGAGCGCAACCCUUAUCCUUUGUUGCCAGCGGUUAGGCCGGGAACUCAAAGGAGACUGCCAGUGAUAAACUGGAGGAAGGUGGGGAUGACGUCAAGUCAUCAUGGCCCUUACGACCAGGGCUACACACGUGCUACAAUGGCAUAUACAAAGAGAAGCGACCUCGCGAGAGCAAGCGGACCUCAUAAAGUAUGUCGUAGUCCGGAUUGGAGUCUGCAACUCGACUCCAUGAAGUCGGAAUCGCUAGUAAUCGUAGAUCAGAAUGCUACGGUGAAUACGUUCCCGGGCCUUGUACACACCGCCCGUCACACCAUGGGAGUGGGUUGCAAAAGAAGUAGGUAGCUUAACCUUCGGGAGGGCGCUUACCACUUUGUGAUUCAUGACUGGGGUGAAGUCGUAACAAGGUAACCGUAGGGGAACCUGCGGUUGGAUCACCUCCUUA
rnacentral:rRNA from 1 species